UACGAAGGGGGCUAGCGUUGCUCGGAAUCACUGGGCGUAAAGCGCACGUAGGCGGAUCUUUAAGUCAGGGGUGAAAUCCUGGAGCUCAACUCCAGAACUGCCUUUGAUACUGGGGAUCUCGAGUCCGGGAGAGGUGAGUGGAACUCCGAGUGUAGAGGUGAAAUUCGUAGAUAUUCGGAAGAACACCGAUGGCGAAGGCAGCCAUCUGGACCGACACUGACGCUGAGGCGCGAAAGCGUGGGGAGCAAACAGG
rnacentral:rRNA from 1 species